UGAAGAGGGAUUUUAUGAGUAUUAAAAUACUUGGAUAGUGAAGCUGGGUGCAUGGUGCUCACUCAUAAUCCCAGCUACAAGAGUCUGAGGCAGGAGGAUCACUUGAGCCCGAGAGUUUGAGACCAGCCUGGGCAACAUAGCAAGACUCCAUUUUAUUAAAUGAAUUUUUUAAAAGUACCAGUAGUAAUUACAACAGCAAAGUAAUUUUCUGUUUUUUUCUUUCUGUUUUUAGGGUGGCUCUGGAUAUGGUAAGUUCUCUCCUUUGUGAAGUCAAACAUUAAUUUCAUACUUUUUAAAUGAACUUACUGCUCAUUAUUUAAAUCAGAUUAUUCCUAUGCAGGGGGUCGUGGCUCAUAUGGUGAUCUUGGUGGACCUAUUAUUACUACACAAGUAACUAUUCCCAAAGAUUUGGCUGGAUCUAUUAUUGGCAAAGGUGGUCAGCGGAUUAAACAAAUCCGUCAUGAGUCGGGAGCUUCGAUCAAAAUUGAUGAGCCUUUAGAAGGAUCCGAAGAUCGGAUCAUUACCAUUACAGGAACACAGGACCAGAUACAGAAUGCACAGUAUUUGCUGCAGAACAGUGUGAAGCAGUAUGCAGAUGUUGAA
rnacentral:sRNA from 1 species